rnacentral:rRNA from 1 species
GACGAACGCUGGCGGCGUGCUUAACACAUGCAAGUCGAACGGAAAGGCCCUGCGUGUGUGCGGUGCUCGAGGGGCGAACGGGGGAGUAACAGGUGAGUAACCUGCUCUUGACUUUGGGAUAACUUCAGGAAACUGGGGCUAAUACCGGAUAGGAGCCGACCUGCGGGGGGGGGGAGGGAAAGUUUCGGCGGUUGGGGAUGGACUGGCGGCUUAUCAGCUUGGUGGGUGGGUAGUGGCUUACCAAGGCAUUGACGGGUAGCCGGCCUGGGAGGGUGACCGGCCACCUUGGGCCUGCGAUACGGCCCAGACUCCUACGGGAGGCAGCAGUGGGGAAUAUUGCCCAAUGGGCGCACGCCUGAUGCAGCAACGCCGCGUGCGGGAUGACGGCCUUCGGGUUGUAAACCGCUUUCGCCUGUGACGAAGCGUGAGUGACGGUAAUGGGUAAAGAAGCACCGGCUAACUACGUG